UACGUAGGGGGCAAGCGUUGUCCGGAUUUAUUGGGCGUAAAGGGCGCGUAGGCGGCUUGGCAAGUGGAUGGUGAAAUCCCUCGGCUUAACCGAGGAACUGCCGUCCAAACUGCUUUGCUUGAGACCGGGAGAGGUGAGUGGAAUUCCCAGUGUAGCGGUGAAAUGCGUAGAUAUUGGGAGGAACACCAGUGGCGAAGGCGGCUCACUGGACCGGUACUGACGCUGAGGCGCGAAAGCGUGGGGAGCAAACGGG
rnacentral:rRNA from 1 species